rnacentral:sRNA from 1 species
AGGGUUUCGCCGGCGGUGAUGAUGUAGACCUCGGGGU